GACGGAGGAUGCAAGCGUUAUCCGGAAUGAUUGGGCGUAAAGCGUCCGCAGGUGGCAGUUCAAGUCUGCUGUCAAAGACCGGGGCUUAACUUCGGAAAGGCAGUGGAAACUGAACAGCUAGAGUAUGGUAGGGGCAGAGGGAAUUCCUGGUGUAGCGGUGAAAUGCGUAGAGAUCAGGAAGAACACCCGUGGCGCAAGCGGCCACCUGGCCAAGAGCUGACGCUGAGGCACGAGAGCGUGGGGAGCGAACCGG
rnacentral:rRNA from 1 species